GAAAUGGCGGAGAAGACGCUGGCGGUGGCAACGGUCUGAACAAGGGUGAUCUUCUUCUCCAUUGGUGGUAGUGAAAGUCCAAAUUAUUAACGGCUGUGUCAGAACAGAACAAGACAGUGGCGAUUAAAAAAACUUGCGGAAAAAAUACAAAGAGGUGCCGCCUAAAUACGUAACACCAAUUCACCGAGAAAACCCAAAACCAACAAUGGCAUCAAACAAUGACGCCGAACAGGUUUAACAAUUAGAGUUGACAAUCAACUAAAGAACAUGUAAUCAUCAAAUCAUAAUCAGAAUUGAAGGAAAUUACAUUCAAUUUC
rnacentral:lncRNA from 1 species